rnacentral:ribozyme from 1 species
UGUUUGAUCUUUCCAUUUUUGUUUUGUUGUUUCUUUUCUUUUUCCCUCUCUUUUUCGUGAGUGCGUGAAAUACAAAGUUGCAUUAAAGCCUUCAGAAAACAUAGAUAUGCAAAGACAAGUACAUCAAU